GACGAACCGUCCAACCGUUAUUCGGAAUCACUGGGCUUACAGAGUUCGUAGGCGGUCUGGAAAGUUGGGUGUGAAAUCUCCCGGCUCAACCGGGAGGGUGCGCCGAAUACUGAAUGACUUGGAGUGCGGGAGAGGUGAGUGGAAUUCCUGGUGUAGCGGUGAAAUGCGUAGAUAUCAGGAGGAACACCGGUGGUGUAGACGGCUCACUGGACCGUAACUGACGCUGAGACACGAAAGCGUGGGUAGCAAACAGG
rnacentral:rRNA from 1 species